CAGCCGCCGCGGUAAUACAGAGGGUGCGAGCGUUAAUCGGAUUUACUGGGCGUAAAGCGUGCGUAGGCGGCUUUUUAAGUUGGAUGUGAAAUCCCUGAGCUUAACUUAGGAAUUGCAUUCGAUACUGGGAAGCUAGAGUAUGGGAGAGGAUGGUAGAAUUCCAGGUGUAGCGGUGAAAUGCGUAGAGAUCUGGAGGAAUACCGAUGGCGAAGGCAGCCAUCUGGCCUAAUACUGACGCUGAGGUACGAAAGCAUGGGGAGCAAACAGGAUUAGAUACCCCUGUAGUCCCUGUCUCUUAUAC
rnacentral:rRNA from 1 species